CACGUAGGGCGCAAGCGUUGUCCGGAAUUAUUGGGCGUAAAGAGCUCGUAGGCGGUCUGUUGCGUCCGCUGUAAAACUCGGGGCUUAACCCCGAGCCUGCAGUGGAUACGGGCAGACUAGAGGUAGGUAGGGGAGAAUGGAAUUCCCGGUGUAGCGGUGAAAUGCGCAGAUAUCGGGAGGAACACCAGUGGCGAAGGCGCCGCUCUGGGCCGUGACUGACGCUGAGGAGCGAAAGCGUGGGUAGCAAACAGG
rnacentral:rRNA from 1 species